CAUGACCCUCAAGAAGGCUGUUAGCCCAUACUCCCAGAAAUGCUUCAAAGCAAGCUUGGGUACAGCCGUACUCAGCCUUGACUGCCAUCAGUUGUGAGAUGGCAUCCAACUGAGAAAUUUUGGCACCCGCAUAAAGAGGUUUCUUUGAUGAGGCCAAGACCUCCAAGAAGGCCUUUGCAAUUGCCUCUGGCUCCUCUGGUUCAUUCUCUGAAGGUGUUGUAUGUGUCUUCUCGGCAGCAAAGACAUCAUCUAGCAUGUCUCUAACCCCAUCAUCCUCGUAACCACCGAUGCGUUGUCGCAUCACC
rnacentral:lncRNA from 1 species